GAGUUUGAUCUUGGCUCAGAUUGAACGCUGGCGGCAUGCCUUACACAUGCAAGUCGAACGGCAGCAUGAUCUAGCUCGCUAGAUUGGUGGCGAGUGGCGAACGGGUGAGUAAUACAUCGGAACGUGCCCUGUAGUGGGGGAUAACUAGUCGAAAGAUUAGCUAAUACCGCAUACGACCUGAGGGUGAAAGUGGGGGACCGCAAGGCCUCAUGCUAUAGGAGCGGCCGAUGUCUGAUUAGCUAGUUGGUGGGGUAAAGGCCCACCAAGGCGACGAUCAGUAGCUGGUCUGAGAGGACGAUCAGCCACACUGGGACUGAGACACGGCCCAGACUCCUACGGGAGGCAGCAGUGGGGAAUUUUGGACAAUGGGCGAAAGCCUGAUCCAGCAAUGCCGCGUGUGUGAAGAAGGCCUUCGGUUGUAAG
rnacentral:rRNA from 1 species